rnacentral:lncRNA from 1 species
GUGGUGGUUCAUGCAUUGGAACGAUUGCGAGAAAAUGGAGAUGACAAAGCCGGACAGUACCUUGCCUCUAUUACCAGAUUUGAAUUUGUAAUUGCUCUAGUAGUUUCGGAGCACAUUUUACAGAGCACGGUAUAUCUAUCGAAAUAUCUGCAAGGUAUAGAAUGUGAUCUGUUAGAGGCUACGAAAGAAUGUAGAACAGUUAUAGAGAUGUUACGGGCCGAACGCAGCGAUGAAGCUGUUUGGAAUGAAAUUUACCAAUCAGCGUUAGAUUUAUCGGAACCAUUUGAUAUUGUGGAAAAUAUGCCGAGGCGAUGCGGCCGACAGACAACCAGAGCCAAUCACCCGGCAAACACGCCAAAACAGUAUUGGAAAGUGUCAUUGUAUUUUCCAUUCAUA